AGGAAGGAGAAGUCGUAACAAGGUUUCCGUAGGUGAACCUGCGGAAGGAUCAUUGUCGAGACCGGAAUCGAUAUACCGAGCGAUUCGGAGAACCCGUGAAAAGAGCGAACGGCCGUCCUGGCCUACGCCCCGUCUCCCCUUCGCGGGGAUUGGGGCGCGGCGGAGGACGGAUGAAACACAAACCGGCGCAGCAUCGCGCCAAGGGAAAAGAUCGAAAGGCACGAGCCCCGCGUCGGGCUCGGUGGCGUGGGGUGCUGUUGCACGCCACGCAGAUGGACACGACUCUCGGCAAUGGAUAUCUCGGCUCUCGCAUCGAUGAAGAGCGCAGCGAAAUGCGAUACGUGGUGCGAAUUGCAGAAUCCCGCGAACCAUCGAGUCUUUGAACGCAAGUUGCGCCCGAGGCCAGCCGGCCAAGGGCACGUCCGCCUGGGCGUCAAGCGUUGCGUCGCUCCGUGCCAGCUCCGUCCCCGCCAGCGGGCGUGUCGGACGAGGCUCGGAUGUGCAGAGUGGCUCGUCGUGCCCGUCGGCGCGGCGGGCUGAAGAGCGGGCAUCGUCUCGCCGGCCGCGAACAACGAGGGGUGGGUGAACGCUGUGAGCGCAGCCUGCGUUGUCUCGUGCCGGCCCGAGAGACGGGUUGUGCCUUCGAUGUGAUCCCGGCCCCGAGCGCCGAUCGUCACGCGGCGGCUUGGAAUGCGACCCCAGGAUGGGCGAGGCCACCCGCCGAGUUUAAGCAUAUCAAUA
rnacentral:rRNA from 1 species